GAUGAACGCUGGCGGCGUGCCUAAUACAUGCAAGUCGAGCGAACAGACGAGGAGCUUGCUCCUCUGACGUUAGCGGCGGACGGGUGAGUAACACGUGGAUAACCUACCUAUAAGACUGGGAUAACUUCGGGAAACCGGAGCUAAUACCGGAUAAUAUAUUGAACCGCAUGGUUCAAUAGUGAAAGACGGUUUUGCUGUCACUUAUAGAUGGAUCCGCGCCGCAUUAGCUAGUUGGUAAGGUAACGGCUUACCAAGGCGACGAUGCGUAGCCGACCUGAGAGGGUGAUCGGCCACGCUUGAACUGAGACACGGUCCAGACUCCUACGGGAGGCAGCAGUAGGGAAUCUUCCGCAAUGGGCGAAAGCCUGACGGAGCAACGCCGCGUGAGUGAUGAAGGUCUUCGGAUCGUAAAACUCUGUUAUUAGGGAAGAACAAAUGUGUAAGUAACUAUGCACGUCUUGACGGUACCUAAUCAGAAAGCCACGGCUAACUACGUG
rnacentral:rRNA from 1 species